CCUACGGGCGGCUGCAGUAAGGAAUAUUGGUCAAUGGACGCAAGUCUGAACCAGCCAUGCCGCGUGGAGGAUGAAGGUCCUCUGGAUUGUACACUUCUUUUAUUUGGGAAGAAACUCCCGAUUUCCAUCGGGAUUGACGGUACCAGCUGAAUAAGCACCGGCUAACUCCGUGCCAGCAGCCGCGGUAAUACGGAGGGUGCAGGCGUUACCCGGAUUAACUGGGUUGAAGGGGGGCAGGUAAGGGCAUGUUGAAAUCUCCGGGCUUAACCCGGAAAUUGCCAUUGAUACUAUUUGUCUUGAAUACUCUGGAGGUGAGCGGAAUAUGUCAUGUAGCGGUGAAAUGCUUAGAUAUGACAUAGAACACCCAUUGCGAAGGCAGCUCACUACGGAAAUAUUGACGCUGAGGCACGAAAGCGUGGGGAUCAAACAGGAUUAGAUACCCUUGUAGUC
rnacentral:rRNA from 1 species